rnacentral:rRNA from 1 species
GCGAGCAUCUGUGGCCAAGUUUUUAAGGGCGCACGGUGGAUGCCUUGGCACCAGGAACCGAUGAAGGACGUGGGAGGCCGCGAUAGUCCCCGGGGAGUCGUCAACCAGGCUUUGAUCCGGGGGUUUCCGAAUGGGGAAACCCGGCAGUCGUCAUGGGCUGUCACCCGCUGCUGAACACAUAGGCAGUGUGGAGGGAACGCGGGGAAGUGAAACAUCUCAGUACCCGCAGGAAGAGAAAACAACCGUGAUUCCGGGAGUAGUGGCGAGCGAAACCGGAUGAGGCUAAACCGUAUUGGUGUGAUACCCGGCAGGGGUUGCCAGUACGGGGUCGUGGGAUCGCACUUCACGUCUGCCGGCGGCUGGGACGAGUCAGAAACCGUUGAUGUAGGCGAAGGACAUGCGAAAGGUCCGGCGUAGAGGGUAAGACCCCCGUAGUCGAAACAUCAGCAACUCGCUUGAGAGACACCCAAGUAGCACGGGGCCCGAGAAAUCCCGUGUGAAUCUGGCGGGACCACCCGCUAAGCCUAAAUAUUCCCUGGUGACCGAUAGCGGAUAGUACCGUGAGGGAAUGGUGAAAAGUACCCCGGGAGCGGAGUGAAAUAGUACCUGAAACCGUGUGCCUACAAGCCGUGGGAGCGUCGCUGUCAUCUUCGGAUGGCAGUCGUGACUGCGUGCCUUUUGAAGAAUGAGCCUGCGAGUUUGCGGUAUGUUGCGAGGUUAACCCGUGUGGGGAAGCCGUAGCGAAAGCGAGUCCGAAGAGGGCGACUGAGUAGCAUGCUCAAGACCCGAAGCGGAGUGAUCUAGCCAUGGGCAGGUUGAAGCGGAGGUAAGACUUCGUGGAGGACCGAACCCACCAGGGUUGAAAACCUGGGGGAUGACCUGUGGUUAGGGGUGAAAGGCCAAUCAAACUCCGUGAUAGCUGGUUCUCCCCGAAAUGCAUUUAGGUGCAGCGUCGUGUGUUUCUUGCCGGAGGUAGAGCACUGGAUAGGCGAUGGGCCCUACCGGGUUACUGACCUUAGCCAAACUCCGAAUGCCGGUAAGUGAGAGCGCGGCAGUGAGACUGUGGGGGAUAAGCUCCAUGGUCGAGAGGGAAACAGCCCAGAGCAUCGACUAAGGCCCCUAAGCGUACGCUAAGUGGGAAAGGAUGUGGAGUCGCAGAGACAACCAGGAGGUUGGCUUAGAAGCAGCCACCCUUGAAAGAGUGCGUAAUAGCUCACUGGUCUAGUGAUUCCGCGCCGACAAUGUAGCGGGGCUCAAGCGUACCGCCGAAGUCGUGUCAUUGCAUAUGUAAGCCCCAACGGGUGUAUGGAUGGGUAGGGGAGCGUCGUCUGCCGGGUGAAGCGGCACUGGAAGGUAGUCGUGGACGGUUGACGAGUGAGAAUGCAGGCAUGAGUAGCGAUACAAAC